AAUGGCCGCGGUAAUCUAACCGUGCAAAGGUAGCAUAAUAAUUAGUCUUUUAAUUGAAGGCUGGUAUGAAGGAUUGGAUGAGAAAUUAGCUUUAUUAACAAAACUAAUUUAAAUUUAAUUUUUAGGUAAAAAAGCCUAAAUUAAUAAGUAGGACGAGAAGACCCUAUAGAGUUUAAAAAUUACUCAUAUUUAUAAAUCUUAGAAAAACAUAAUUAUAUAAUUAUAGAGUUAUUUUUGUAUUGGGGUGAUAUUGAAAUGUAUGUAACUUUUAAUUAUUUUAACAUUAAUUAAUGUUAAAUUGAUCCAUUAUAUUUUUUAUGAGAAAAAGACUAAAUUACCUUAGGGAUAACAGCGUUAUUAAUUUGGAGAGUUCACAUCGAUAAAUUAGUUUGCGACCUCGAUGUUGGAUUAAGAUAAGAUUUUGGGGUAGAUAUUAAUAAUCUAGGUCUGUUCGACCUUUUAAUUCUUACG
rnacentral:rRNA from 1 species